rnacentral:lncRNA from 1 species
GCUCAACAUUAUAUUUAUUAUAAAGAACACGAAAAAAACAAUAAACAAAGAACGACAGGAACAGUUUUGCAGGUUAACUAAAAGCAGUGCAAAAACAACUACCCACAAACAAACAGGUGAAAACAAGCUCUUUCAAUAUGACUCUCAAUCAGGAACAACGAUGAACAGCUGUUCCUGAUCGAGAGCCACACAGACCACAAAGAAAUAUACAAACUAGAAACCUAGAAUACAAAAAACCAGAACAUACACCAAAACCCCGGAACACAUAAAUAAAACACCCCUCUACAAUAACCAUAACCCCCUAACCACAUAAAACAAAUACCCUCUGCCACGUCCUGACCAAACUACAAUAACAAAUAAUCCCUAUUACUGGUCAGGACGUGACAUUACUACUACUACUCGCUCGGUUCUGAGCUGUAGGCAGACUCACUCGGUUCUGAGCUGUAGGCAGACUCACUCGGUUCUGAGCUGUAGGCAGACUCACUUGGCUCCGGACUGUAGGCCGUCUUACUCCGUUCCGGACUGUAGACCCUCUCACUCCGUUCCGAACUGUGGGCCGUCUCACUCGGCUCUGAACAGUGGGCCGUCUCACUCGGCUCUGAACAGUGGGCCGUCUCACUCGGCUCUGAACAGUGGGCCGUCUCACUCGGCUCUGAACAGUGGGCCGUCUCACUCGGCUCUGAACAGUGGGCCGUCUCACUCGGUUCCGAACUGUAGGCCGUCUCACUCGGUUCCGGGCUAUACACUCUUACCGGAUACUCUAGACGGGGUACUGUCUCCGGACACUCAGGACGGGGCACUGUCGCCGGACACUCAGGACGGGGCACUGUCGCCGGACACUCAGGACGGGGCACUGUCGCCGGACACUCAGGACGGGGCACUGUCGCCGGACACUCAGGACGGGGCACUGUCGCCGGACACUCAGGACGGGGCACUGUCGCCGGACACUCAGGACGGGGCACUGUCGCCGGACACUCAGGACGAGGCACUGUCACCGGACAGGGCGCUGUCGUCGGAAGCUCGGGACUGGACUGACGCACUGGAAGCCUGAUGCGUGGGGCUGGUAGUGGAGGUACCAGCCUGGGGACACGCACCUCAGGGCUAGUGCGGGGAGUGGGAACAGGCUGAGUUGGACUGGGCUGACGCACUGGAGGCCUGGUGCGUGAUGCUGGCUGUGGAUAUACCGGGCCGUGGAGGCGCACAGGCGGUCUCGAUCGCACCUCCUGCACAACCCGUCCUGGCUGGAUGGAACUAGUAGCCCUGUACGAGCGGAGUGCUGGUACAGGGCGAACUGGGCUGUGCAGGGGCCUGAUGGUUGCCGUGCGUAGAGCAGGCGUAGGGUAGCCUGGACCUAGGAGGCGCACCGGUGACUAGAUGCGCUGCGCAGGCAUCCUCCUACCAGGCUGGAUGCCCACUCUAGCACGGCACUUGCGAGGGGCUGGGAUCACUCGCACUGGACUGUGCGUGCGUAUGGGCGAGAUCGUGCGCACUUCUGCAUACCUCGGCGCCCUCCACUCCAUACGUUCCUCACAAUAAGCAUGGGGAGCUGGCUUAGGGCUCACCCUUGGCCCAGCCAAACUACCCGUGUGCCCCCCCAAAAAACAAUAUUGGGGGUGCCUCUCCGGCUUCCUCGCCAGCCGUGUUCCCCGGUAGCGUUCCCGGUCCUCACCAGACUUCCUCCAUGGGCCCUCUCCAGCCAGAAUCUGCUCCCAAGUCCAUGACUCGCGACAGUCCACCCGUUGCUCCUUCCUCCGCUGCUUGGUCCGUGUUUGGUGGGUAGUUCUGUCACGGGUGUCGUAAUGUAAAGACCAAGACGCAGCGGGUUGCGUGCUCAACAUUAUAUUUAUUAUAAAGAACACGAAAAAACAAUAAACAAAGAACGACAGGAACAGUUUUGCAGGCUAACUAAAAGCGGUGCAAAAACAACUACCCACAAACAGGUGAAAACAAGCUCUUUAAAUAUGACUCUCAAUCAGGAACAAUGAUGAACAGCUGUUCCUGAUCGAGAGCCACACAGACCAAAGAAAUAUACAAACUAGAAACCUAGAAUACAAAAAACAGAACAUACACCAAAACCCCGGAACACAUAAAUAAAACACCCCUCUACAAUAACCAUAACCCCCUAACCACAUAAAACAAAUACCCUCUGCCACGUCCUGACCAAACUACAAUAACAAAUAAUCCCUAUUACUGGUCAGGACGUGACAAUUGGUGCGGGUGGCUUCCAGGUUAAGUGGGCAUUGUGUCAAGAAGCAGUGCGGCUUGGUUGGGUUGUGUUUCGGAGGACGCACGGCUCUCGACCUUUGCCUCUUCCGAGUCCAUACAGGAGUUGCAGCGAUGAGACAAGACUAACAUUGGGGAGAAAAAGAGGUAAAACAUGUAUAUAUUUUUUUAAAUCACUAAAUAGAAAUGCUACCAAAAAUAAUUUACUUAAAGUUGUUGCACCCAUGUUUCACCAAACAAUAUUUUG